UUUCAAAGAGACAGUAUAUACUGAUAUUUAUAUGAUUAUAGUGAGUAGAUUCCAAGGACCACAGUGAUUGAAUCCUUAAAUAUAUGUAGAAGCUUUAUCAUGAGUUUUUAUGGAGAUGUUAUCUGUUAGAAGAGAGGGUUCCAUUUCAAAGAUCCAUAGGAAUACUAGCCGUUGAGAAUGGAACAAGAACAGAACGAUUGAAAAAAAGGAACAAGAACGGAACAAUCUAGCUGAAGGCCCUUGUUCUAGAACGGAGCAGAACAAUUUCAAAAAAGUUAGAACAUGCCCAGCCCUACUACUGCUUACUGCCUGAAAUAGGUCUGUUUUAUCUUUGCUUGAUACCAAUAAAAAAGGUCAAUAUUCUGAUGAUCUUUUUUGAAAGCUGAAAUCAAGGAAAAUAUUAAUUUUGAACAACAUGCUUCGUUUUUAGUUUAGUUUGCACUUGUUUGUGAUGAUUUUUUACACAGAUUUAGCAAAGAAGAGUCAACACUUAUCACAUAUUUUUUCAUUGACAUACAUUCUAUAAUAUCAUAAUUGAAAAUGAGCAAAUUGCUUGUACAACAUUUUCAAACUUUUUUUUUAACCCUGCAAUCUUGCUGAGAUAAUUGGCAGAAGCUGAACUUUUAUUAA